ensembl:lncRNA
GUUUUUUUUGACUGCACUAAUAGUUCGUAAACACCACACAGGAAGUAGGAAAAGAACUACAAUUCCCAUCUGCCCUGGCUGUCACAGGCUAAUAGCACCAGCUGCUUUCCAUUGCCCUAAGGAGUGAUUCUACUGCGGCAACGAGACCAAAUACAACGAAAGGUAAAACAUCUACUCUGAAAAAGAGGAAGGCUCGGGAAGGAAAUGAGGUCCAUGCAGUGGAGAGACAUAUGAAGACCUUCAUCAUGUCAUGUCGUGACCCAGGGAAGUUGGCCUGUGAAAACUGCAUUAGAUCUGAGUCUUUAUAUCUUAAAGAUAGAGACUGGCAAAGUGUCAAAUUCUAUGUCUAUUACUGCACUGUAGCUUACAAAAGAGAUAUAAACAAAGAUUAAAUAACACUUUGAUAGUAACACUUUACAUCUAUAUUACAGAUACUGUACAUUAUAACAUCUGUAGUAAUGCUUUAAUAAUAAGUUACGUUACACCUCUAGCCUUUUACUUUGUAAUGAACCGCUCAGCAUUUACUUCAUCAUAAACUAAUCAGGAACAAAUCAGGCAUUUAAAAUAUCCAUUAGAAUCUUUACCUACACCGUUAUAUUGAAUUAGAUCAAAUUGGUUUGGGCCGCCUUCUUCCAGUGAUCCUUAUGCAGUUGGCUGACAAGUUCAUGAGUAAGCCUAUUGGGCAAUAAAAGCUUCAGUGUGCUACCCAUUUACAUGUUUAGACUGCCUAGAAUCAAAAUUAGCUACCUCAACAUACAUUAUUAAGUUGUUACUGUCACUUUUUAGCUUAGUCAGUUAAGUGGAUAUAGAAUUGUCUUUAUGACAUUUGGUUGUGUGUCUGUGUUUGGCUAGUAUCUUUAUUUUUCUCUAUGUUUAACUUUGAGCUGGCUAUAUGUAGUAAGCAGAAGUGUUAUGUCAAACUUAAAUGAGUCCAAGUUCAUUCAUGGCACAUGUGAGCUUAGUAGUUGUGCACUUUAAUGGGCAAAUAUUUGUUGUCUUUUACAGUAAAGAAGCUCAAGACUCAAGUUGUCUUUAUAAUGUUGAAUAGACAGGGUUUUUUCAACUGGCUGACAACUUUUCACUUGAUUAGAGAUCCAGACCAAUAAACAAAUCCUUCAUGUAGCUAAAAUAUCAAAAGGAUGAGUUUCUUUGUCAUUUUGACUUGCCAAAAUGACUGGGGAUAGUGUUAAUUUGUGAUGCAUGUCUGUGAUAAAUAAGUGAGGUUCAGUACAGCUAGCACCUCUACUUUCUAUUCCACAAAAAAAAUUGUAUACUUUGGAGCAGAAAAUGAAAAGCUUCUUAGAAUUAUAGCCUCAAAACUAAUAAUAGCACUGGUACCACCUUCCUUAACAAGUUCCUAGGUUUCUCAAAGGGUUCCUCU